rnacentral:rRNA from 1 species
GAUGAACGCUAGCUACAGGCUUAACACAUGCAAGUCGAGGGGAAACGGCAUUUAGUGCUUGCACCGAAUGGACGUCGACCGGCGCACGGGUGAGUAACGCGUAUCCAACCUUCCCAUAACUAAGGAAUAACCUGCCGAAAGGCAGACUAAUACCUUAUGUAAUCCUUUGAUGGCAUCAGAUAAGGAUAAAAGAUUUAUCGGUUAUGGAUGGGGAUGCGUCUGAUUAGCUUGUUGGCGGGGUAACGGCCCACCAAGGCAACGAUCAGUAGGGGUUCUGAGAGGAAGGUCCCCCACAUUGGAACUGAGACACGGUCCAAACUCCUACGGGAGGCAGCAGUGAGGAAUAUUGGUCAAUGGACGGAAGUCUGAACCAGCCAAGUAGCGUGCAGGAAGACGGCCCUAUGGGUUGUAAACUGCUUUUGUAUGGGGAUAAAGUCAAUCACGUGUGAUUGUUUGCAGGUACCAUACGAAUAAGGACCGGCUAAUUCCGUGCCAGCAGCCGCGGUAAUACGGAAGGUUCGGGCGUUAUCCGGAUUUAUUGGGUUUAAAGGGAGCGUAGGCCGGAGAUUAAGUGUGUUGUGAAAUGUAGACGCUCAACGUCUGACUUGCAGCGCAUACUGGUUUCCUUGAGUACGCACAACGUUGGCGGAAUUCGUCGUGUAGCGGUGAAAUGCUUAGAUAUGACGAAGAACUCCGAUUGCGAAGGCAGCUGACGGGAGCGCAACUGACGCUGAAGCUCGAAGGUGCGGGUAUCGAACAGG